GGGCCCGUAGCUCAGUGGUUAGAGCGGUCGGCUCAUAACCGAUUGGUCGUAGGUUCGAUUCCUACCGGGCCCACCA
rnacentral:tRNA from 2 species